rnacentral:tRNA from 1 species
UGGGGUGUUGGCUCAGUGCUAGAGCAUUUGCCUAGCACAUAAGAGGCCCUAGGUUCAAUCCUAGCACCACAU